rfam:Aptenodytes forsteri contig35133, whole genome shotgun sequence.
GCAUGUGGCCUUACCGCUGUGAACACACCCCACCUCCUCUGAUCUCUGAAGCUAACAGGAUGGGCCUAGUUAGUACUUGGAUCGGAAACCACUUGGGAAUACCAGGUGCUCUAACCU